AUUGAACGCUGGCGGCAGGCCUAACACAUGCAAGUCGAGCGGAGCGGCGGACGGGCGAGUAAUCACUAGGUAGCUGCCUGGCAGUGGGGGAUAACGUCCGGAAACGGACGCUAAUAACGCACACUAUCCGAUGAGCCUAGGUCGGAUUAGCUAGUUGGUGAGGGAAUGGCUCACCAAGGCUACGAUCCGUAACUGGUCUGGGAGGAUGAUCAGUCACACUGGGACUGAGACACGGUCCAGACUCCUACGGGAGGCAGCAGUGGGGAAUAUUGGACAAAGGGCGAAAGCCUGAUACAGCCAUGCCGCGUGUGUGAAGAAGGUCUUCGGAUUGUAAAGCACUUUAAGUUGGGAGGCGUUACCGGCAGAAUAAGCACCGGCUAACUCUGUGCCAGCAGCCGCGGUAAUAC
rnacentral:rRNA from 1 species